rnacentral:rRNA from 1 species
AUUGAACGCUGGCGGCAUGCCUUACACAUGCAAGUCGAACGGCAGCAUGAUCUAGCUCGCUCGAUUGAUGGCGAGUGGCGAACGGGUGAGUAAUACAUCGGAACGUGCCCUGUAGUGGGGGAUAACUAGUCGAAAGAUUAGCUAAUACCGCAUACGACCUGAGGGUGAAAGUGGGGGACCGCAAGGCCUCAUGCUAUAGGAGCGGCCGAUGUCUGAUUAGCUAGUUGGUGAGGUAAAGGCUCACCAAGGCGACGAUCAGUAGCUGGUCUGAGAGGGCGAUCAGCCACACUGGGACUGAGACACGGCCCAGACUCCUACGGGAGGCAGCAGUGGGGAAUUUUGGACAAUGGGCGAAAGCCUGAUCCAGCAAUGCCGCGUGUGUGAAGAAGGCCUUCGGGUUGUAAAGCACUUUUGUCCGGAAAGAAAUGGCUCUGGUUAAUACCUGGGGUCGAUGACGGUACCGGAAGAAUAAGGACCGGCUAACUACGUG